rnacentral:rRNA from 1 species
UUAAGCGACUAAGCGUACACGGUGGAUGCCCUGGCAGUCAGAGGCGAUGAAGGACGUGCUAAUCUGCGAUAAGCGUCGGUAAGGUGAUAUGAACCGUUAUAACCGGCGAUUUCCGAAUGGGGAAACCCAGUGUGAUUCGUCACACUAUCAUUAACUGAAUCCAUAGGUUAAUGAGGCGAACCGGGGGAACUGAAACAUCUAAGUACCCCGAGGAAAAGAAAUCAACCGAGAUUCCCCCAGUAGCGGCGAGCGAACGGGGAGCAGCCCAGAGCCUGAAUCAGUGUGUGUGUUAGUGGAAGCGUCUGGAAAGGCGCGCGAUACAGGGUGACAGCCCCGUACACAAAAAUGCACAUACUGUGAGCUCGAUGAGUAGGGCGGGACACGUGGUAUCCUGUCUGAAUAUGGGGGGACCAUCCUCCAAGGCUAAAUACUCCUGACUGACCGAUAGUGAACCAGUACCGUGAGGGAAAGGCGAAAAGAACCCCGGCGAGGGGAGUGAAAAAGAACCUGAAACCGUGUACGUACAAGCAGUGGGAGCACGCUUAGGCGUGUGACUGCGUACCUUUUGUAUAAUGGGUCAGCGACUUAUAUUCUGUAGCAAGGUUAACCGAAUAGGGGG